rnacentral:misc_RNA from 1 species
AAAUAUCAAUUUGGUAACAAAUUUAAAUUAAUGCAGUUGGCAAACGUUUUCUUUGGAACCUGGCGUCGACAAAACUCUUUUUGGAACUGUGGCAGGAGUACAUCGAAGAAUUGCGCGGCACUCGAGUAAAUGCGCAAAUCUACAAGGAGAUCGCCGACAAAUUACACAAAUUUGGUCCAACUCACGUUGAAGUCAAGGCCAAAGUGGACAACAUGACCAGGAAAUACAGAAUAGAAUUGAAUAAAAGUCACGCAACUGGGCUGCCAUCGAAAUGGGAACAUUUUAAAACGGUGCAAGAAUUGUUGAAUGAAUCGAGAUCGGUCAAAAUGAAACUUGUCAUGGCCAACA